AUUGAACGCUGGCGGCAGGCCUAACACAUGCAAGUCGAGCGGAUGAAGGGAGCUUGCUCCUGGAUUCAGCGGCGGACGGGUGAGUAAUGCCUAGGAAUCUGCCUGGUAGUGGGGGAUAACGUCCGGAAACGGGCGCUAAUACCGCAUACGUCCUGAGGGAGAAAGUGGGGGAUCUUCGGACCUCACGCUAUCAGAUGAGCCUAGGUCGGAUUAGCUAGUUGGUGGGGUAAAGGCCUACCAAGGCGACGAUCCGUAACUGGUCUGAGAGGAUGAUCAGUCACACUGGAACUUAGACACGGUCCAGACUCCUACGGGAGGCAGCAGUGGGGAAUAUUGGACAAUGGGCGAAAGCCUGAUCCAGCCAUGCCGCGUGUGUGAAGAAGGUCUUCGGAUUGUAAAGCACUUUAAGUUGGGAGGAAGGGCAGUAAGUUAAUACCUUGCCGUUUUGACGUUACCAACAGAAUAAGCACCGGCUAACUUCGUG
rnacentral:rRNA from 1 species